rnacentral:lncRNA from 1 species
UAGAAGUAUAAAUCUAAAAAGUUAAAGGUAGGGAAUACUGGGAUAGGACAAGGCUUGUUCUUUUCAUUUCAUUUUUUUAAAAAAAUAUUGCUACUACCUCUAGUAUUUUUUUUACACAAAAAGUGGCAGACGGGUGCUUCUCGUUGUUCUCGCAUCUCAAUUCAAACACGAAGUAACAGAAGCACGGCGAACUUGUUUCAAGGAUGGUUUCGAGAGGUAACACUAACAGUAGUACAUGCACAACAAACUGUGCGUUUUAGUUGCGAGUGUAUGGACGCAAAUCGCCGAUGUGAUAUGACUUGGAGACCGAUGAAACCUGAAACUGAAAGCAACGUUUUAUUCUUCCGGUUACAAACACAGUUCGUUUUAUUUUUAAUCAUGUACGAUG